GAGUUUGAUCUUGGCUCAGGACGAACGCUGGCGGCGCGCUUAACACAUGCAAGUCGAACGUGAAGCCCGGGCUUGCCCGGGUGGAAAGUGGCGAACGGGUGCGUAACACGUGAGCAACCUGCCCCGAAGACCGGGAUAACACCGGGAAACCGGUGCUAAUACCGGAUGCCCUCAUCAUGUCGCAUGGCGAGAUGAGGAAAUGGAUUCCGCUUCGGGAUGGGCUCGCGGCCUAUCAGCUUGUUGGUGAGGUAACGGCUCACCAAGGCAACGACGGGUAGCUGGUCUGAGAGGAUGUCCAGCCACACUGGGACUGAGACACGGCCCAGACUCCUACGGGAGGCAGCAGUGGGGAAUCUUGCACAAUGGGCGAAAGCCUGAUGCAGCGACGCCGCGUGCGGGAUGAAGGCCUUCGGUUGU
rnacentral:rRNA from 1 species